rnacentral:rRNA from 1 species
UGGGGAAUAUUGGACAAUGGGCGCAAGCCUGAUCCAGCCAUACCGCGUGGGUGAAGAAGGCCUUCGGGUUGUAAAGCCCUUUUGUUGGGAAAGAAAUCCAGCCGGCUAAUACCUGGUUGGGAUGACGGUACCCAAAGAAUAAGCACCGGCUAACUUCGUGCCAGCAGCCGCGGUAAUACGAAGGGAGCAAGCGUUACUCGGAAUUACUGGGCGUAAAGCGUGCGUAGGUGGUUAUUUAAGUCCGUUGUGAAAGCCCUGGGCUCAACCUGGGAACUGCAGUGGAUACUGGAUGACUAGAAUGUGGUAGAGGGUAGCGGAAUUCCUGGUGUAGCAGUGAAAUGCGUAGAGAUCAGGAGGAACAUCCAUGGCGAAGGCAGCUACCUGGACCAACAUUGACACUGAGGCACGAAAGCGUGGGGAGCAAACA